UUACGGUCAUAUCACGUUGAAACACCGGCUCUCGUAUGAUCACUGAAUUUAAGCAACAUCGAGCCUGGUCAGUACCUAGAUAGGUGACAGUUUGGGAAUAA